rnacentral:rRNA from 1 species
GAUUGAACGCUGGCGGAAUGCUUUACACAUGCAGGUCGAGCGGCAGCGCGGGGCAACCUGGCGGCGAGCGGCGAACGGGUGAGUAACACAUCGGAACGUACCCUGUUGUGGGGGAUAGCCCGGCGAAAGCCGGAUUAAUACCGCAUAAGACCUGAGGGUGAAAGCGGGGGACCGCAAGGCCUCGCGCGACAGGAGCGGCCGAUGGCGGAUUAGCUAGUUGGUGGGGUAAAGGCUCACCAAGGCGACGAUCCGUAGCUGGUCUGAGAGGAUGAUCAGCCACACUGGAACUGAGACACGGUCCAGACUCCUACGGGAGGCAGCAGUGGGGAAUUUUGGACAAUGGGGGCAACCCUGAUCCAGCCAUUCCGCGUGAGUGAAGAAGGCCUUCGGGUUGUAAAGCUCUUUCGGCAGGAACGAAACGGUGGGCUCUAACAUAGUCUGCUAAUGACGGUACCUGAAGAAGAAGCACCGGCUAACUACGUGCCAGCAGCCGCGGUAAUACGUA